rnacentral:sRNA from 1 species
CACUGCCAUGGCUGCCCUUGACGACCAGCCCGCGGAGGCCCAGCCCCCGUCACCACGGUCCUCCAGCCCCUGCCGGACGCCAGAGCCGGACAAUGAUGCUCACCUACGCAGCUCCUCUCGCCCCUGCAGCCCCGUCCACCACCACGAGGGCCAUGCCAAGCUGUCUAGCAGCCCCCCUCGUGCAAGCCCCGUGAGGAUGGCACCGUCGUACGUGCUCAAGAAAGCCCAGGUAUUGAGUGCUGGCAGCCGGAGGCGGAAGGAGCAGCGCUACCGCAGCGUCAUCUCAGACAUCUUUGACGGCUCCAUUCUCAGCCUCGUGCAGUGUCUCACCUGUGACCGGGUAUCCACCACAGUGGAAACAUUCCAGGACUUAUCACUGCCCAUUCCUGGCAAGGAGGACCUGGCCAAGCUCCAUUCAGCCAUCUACCAGAAUGUGCCGGCCAAGCCAGGCGCCUGUGGGGACAGCUAUGCCGCCCAGGGCUGGCUGGCCUUCAUUGUGGAGUACAUCCGACGGUGUGCCCACCUUGCCACUACUGGGCGACACGGGCUGGGCCCUGUCCUGGUUUUCCUGGGCGGGAGACAGUACACAGUGAAGUCCAUGCAUUUGGGGAACCAGGGAGGUCCUGGGAGGAGCUGGGGGCCGAAGCCUGCAGAGGAGUUGGCUUAAUAUGCAGGGGAUUUCUUGGCUACUUUGAAGUGGCCAGGAUUGGAUAGUCCCUUGGAGCUGGAGGGUGAUGGACAGCAGGGAGGUGACCACGUGGCAGGUUGAAGGGAGGGCAGCAGCAGGACACAGGCCUGGUUGGCGGGAAGGGCAGCAGCUUU